CGGGGCGUAGCGAAGGUGGCUAUCGCGCCUGCUUUGGGAGCAGGAGGCCCCCCGUUCAAAUCGGGGCGCCCCGA
rfam:Candidatus Firestonebacteria bacterium RIFOXYA2_FTLL_40_8 rifoxya2_full_scaffold_2838, whole genome shotgun sequence.